rnacentral:rRNA from 1 species
GGGACUGAGACACGGCCCAGACUUCUACGGGAGGCAGCAGUGGGGAAUUUUCCGCAAUGGGCGAAAGCCUGACGGAGCAAUACCGCGUGAGGGAUGACGGCCUAUGGGUUGUAAACCUCUUUUUUCAGGGAGGAAUAAAUGACGUGUACCUGAAGAAUAAGCAUCGGCUAACUCCGUGCCAGCAGCCUCGGUAAGACGGAGGAUGCAAGU